rnacentral:lncRNA from 1 species
ACAAUGAGAAGCUAGUGUCACUGUUCUAGAAGCCCUAGGGAAAAAAGCCAAACACCAUUAUCUGGAUUGGUAGGCACUGCAGAAAAUAUAUUGACAAAGUUUUGAGAUAUAUAAGUGAAAAAUGGUGAAAAAGACUUGACUAAUGUUUUCUUGGUCCUUCCAACAACAACAAAACUGAUUCCGUGGCACAUUUUUGAAAGGGAGCAUAUGGCACCAUUUGUGCUUAUCAUCAUGCCCAGCAUAUGGCAAGUAGUCAAGAAAUCUCUCAUUGGUUAAUUGAUUGAUUCAUUCAGCACGACUCGAUAGGCAAACAUUUGUUGAAUUAAUGAUUGAAUAAACAAAAGAGCCUUCCUUUCCAGGCUUAACAGCCCUACUUCUCUCAAAUCUUGUAACUUUGACCUGAUGUUUUGCACAUCCCCCCGGUGCUGCUGACUCUGCCCUGGACAGCCUUCAGUUUCUUAAUGUCCCUCAUGAUUCAACUCCCAGAGCCAUACAUCAUACUCUGUCUUUAAUUGAGUGACCCACCAGGAUCAGGCAUGGCCAUAAGCAUCGGCUGACACCGAAAACAAAACUCCUGCUGUUCUGGAAGGCCAGGCAUCAGAGAUAUCAUAGCUUAAGGUUUGUUUGUUUGUUUGUUUGUUUUUCUAAAUGCAUCCAAAUGGGGCUGUGAAAAACUAGGGGUAGUUUGCACGUGUUAUAUGUUUGUUGCUUUAUAACCCCUUUGGCCCAAAGAGAUGUUAUAUUUAGUCCUGGGCAUGGCCUUUGGACUCCGAGCCUGUGCCAAGUACCAGGCUAGAAAGCUGUGAGCCAGGACACGAGCCAGCUUAUUUGAAGCACAUUACAUCAGACAUUUCCUGAGGUGGAAAGGAAGUCCUCCUUGCUAGAAAGCAGGGAGGAUUUUGGCUCUUAGAGGCUGGAUUCAGUAACUUUAACUCUUUGGCUAAGGGCCAAUCCUCUAGCAAGCAGCUAUCAUAUGGUCUGCAAAAAAUUCAGAUCCAAAGUCUCCAGCCCCCGUUUUAUGUGUUGACACCAUAGCCUUCUUUGAGAGAUGGAUUGCCUUUUGGAGCAGUGGGGAGUUGUGGGGGUUGGGGGGUGGGAGGGACAGCUUUUAGAAAAGGAGAGACGUUAGAAAAUCUGAUUAAAGAUUUUAUAAGAGAUUAAAAUAAUCUUACUAACUUGUCUCAAUUUGAGGGGUAAUGUUGACUUUGUAAGCAGAAAAUGAUAAGCCCUGAAUUAAAAUGCUGUCCAAAAAAGUGCUGUCAUCCAUCACUUUUUUUUUCCUUUUCAAGUUAAAUAAAAUCAUAUAAUGUGUAGUGAGGGAUAUAUUAGUGUUAAAUAUUACAUUUAUAAAUUAAGCCCUAAUGAUAGUUUCUCAAUUAACUUUAGAAAUUGACUUUGCAGUGAAGAAAUUUGAUCUCCACAACACUUGAAGUUAAAUAUUUUGUGACUCUAAAGUCUUCCCCUCUCUCCAUGAGCCACGU